UCCCGUUGAUCCUGCGGGACCUGACUGCUAUCGGAUUGGUACUAAGCCAUGCGAGUCGUUGUAGCAAUACAAGGCAGACUGCUCAGUAACACGUAGUUAACCUAACCUAUGGACGGGGAUAACCUCGGGAAACUGAGAAUAAUACCCGAUAGAUCACGGUGCCUGGAAUGGCCCGUGGUCCAAAUGAUUUAUCGCCGUAGGAUGGGACUGCGGCCUAUCAGCUAGUUGGUGAGGUAAUGGCCCACCAAGGCUAUAACAGGUACGGGCUCUGAGAGGAGGGGCCCGGAGAUGGGUACUGAGACACGGACCCAGGCCCUAUGGGGCGCAGCAGGCGAGAAACCUUUGCAAUGUGCGAAAGCACGACAAGGUUAAUCCGAGUGUCUCCUGCUAAAGGAGUCUUUUGCCGGUCAUAGAACCACCGGUGAAUAAGGGGUGGGCAAGUUCUGGCGUCAGCCGCCGCGGUAAAACCAGCACCUCGAGUGGUCAGGAGGUUUAUUGGGCCUAAAGCAUCCGUAGCCGGCUGCUCAAGUUUUCGGUUAAAUCUAUGCGCUCAACGUAUAGGCCGCCGAAAAUACUGGGCAGCUAGGGAGUGGGAGAGGUACACGGUACUCAAUAGGAAGGGGUAAAAUCCUUUGAUCUAUUGAUGACCACCUGUGGCGAAGGCGGUGUACCAGAACACGUUCGACGGUGAGGGAUGAAAGCUGGGGGAGCAAACCGGAUUAGAUACCCGGGUAGUCCCAGCUGUAAACGAUGCAGACUCGGUGAUGCAUUGGCUUGUGGCCAAUGCAGUGCCGCAGGGAAGCCGUUAAGUCUGCCGCCUGGGAAGUACGUACGCAAGUAUGAAACUUAAAGGAAUUGGCGGGGGAGCACCAC
rnacentral:rRNA from 1 species